GAUCCUCUCCACACGCGCCUGCGAGGUCAGCUGUCGGGUUCGGGCUGAGAGGUCGCCCGGCCUCACCCCUCCUGGCUUGGAGAGGGUCUGGCUUCACCCCAAGG
rnacentral:sRNA from 1 species